GAGGGUAUAGCUCAGUGGUAGAGCUGCCUCAGCAUGCCUGAGGUCCUGGGUUCAAUCCCCAGUACCUCUA
rnacentral:tRNA from 1 species